rnacentral:rRNA from 2 species
ACUGCGAGUGAAGCGGGAAAAGCUCAAAUUUGAAAUCUGGCGGUUUCUAGCCGCCCGAGUUGUAAUCUAGAGAAGUGCUGCCCGCGCUGGACCGUAUACAAGUCUCCUGGGAUGGAGCGUCAUAGAGGGUGAGAAUCCCGUCUCUGAUAUGGGCUGCCAGGGCUUUGUGGUGCACUCUCGAAGAGUCGAGUUGUUUGGGAAUGCAGCUCAAAAUGGGUGGUAAAUUCCAUCUAAAGCUAAAUAUUGGCGAGAGACCGAUAGCGAACAAGUACCGUGAGGGAAAGAUGAAAAGAACUUUGGAAAGAGAGUUAAACAGUAUGUGAAAUUGCUGAAAGGGAAACGCUUGAGGUCAGUUGCGUUGGCUGGGGAUCAGCCUCACUGUUCUGUGUGGGGUGUACUUUCUGGUUGACGGGUCAACAUCAAUUUCGACUACUGGAGAAAGGCUUGAGGAAUGUGGCAGCUCUGGCUGAGUUUAUAGCCUCUCGUCAGAUACAGUGGUUGGGAUUGAGGAAUGCAGCAUGCCGCAAGGCCGGGGCUAUUAACUUAGUCCACGUUCGUGCUCAGGAUGUUGGCGUAAUGGCUUUAAGCGACCCGUCUUGAAACACGGACCAAGGAGUCUAACAUGCCUGCGAGUGUUUGGGUGGAAAACCCGUGCGCGCAAUGAAAGUGAAAGUUGAGAUCCCUGUCGUGGGGAGCAUCGACGCCCGGACCAGAACUAAUGUAAUGGAUCUGCGGUAGAGCAUGUAUGUUGGGACCCGAAAGAUGGUGAACUAUGCCUGAAUAGGGUGAAGCCAGAGGAAACUCUGGUGGAGGCUCGCAGCGAUUCUGACGUGCAAAUCGAUCGUCAAAUUUGGGUA